UUCAGUGAAGGUACAUGGCAUAAGAAAGCAAAUUUAUAUAUAGGCUUAGGAAUGGAAAAUACAGAUACCACACCAACAAAGGAAAACCAAUUUGAUUGCUGUUUUUGCCUAAGUUCUGGAAUUUCUGUUAAAUUUAAUUUCAAUGGAAAGAAAUGUUCUAAUUAUGACUUCAGUUCAAAAUUAAAAUCAGUUUUUGGUUCAGAUACUUUUGAUUUGAUUGAUGAAUUGUUUCAGAAUGAAGCCUCAGUUUGUAGAAAUUGUUUUUCCUCAUUUUCUCGUUUUUAUGGAUUUAUUUCAUCUAGCAAACAUUGUUUUUCCACUUUUUUGUCUCGAAAAACACAGAAGAAGAGAAUGGCCAAUUUUUCUCCAGAAAUAUGCCACGAUAUUGGAUCCACAUCAACAUCAUUAACAGAUGAAGUACCAGUCUCUGGUAAUAAUGAAGAUG